rnacentral:rRNA from 1 species
GACGUAGGGUGCGAGCGUUGUCCGGAUUUAUUGGGCGUAAAGAGCUCGUAGGCGGCUCGUCGCGUCGACCGUGAAAACCCGCGGCUUAACUGCGGGCUUGCGGUUGAUACGGGCGGGCUAGAGUUCGGAAGGGGAAAGUGGAAUUCCGGGUGUAGUGGUGGAAUACGUAGAUAUCCGGAGGAACACCAGCGGCGAAGGCGGCUUUCUGGUCCGAUACUGACGCUGAGGUGCGAAAGCGAUGGGGAGCGUAG